CUCUCUCCCUCUCCCUCUCUCCCUCUCCCUCUUUUUCUCUUCUACCACUCUUGUCCCCAAGGACCGGCCUCUGCCCACCUCUCCGCCUCCCUCUUCCGCCCCUUCUCUCUCCUCUCCCAAUAAACCUCCCAUGUGAGUCCGGUCGUAGGGUGUGACUUCUCUUUGUGGCUUUUUUUUAUAUUACAACACAAUUGUCCCAUAUGAGAUGUCCAGGCAAGCUUACCACAAGUACAUUUAAAUUGUUUGGACCUCAGGUUUUACGAGGGGGUUGGCUCAUGAUUGAAUAUAGUGCUUUGCAGAGGUUUGACAAGAGCUCUAGCACCAAGCAACAGUCCCAGCCCUAAGAACAACUGUGGGAUACACUGGAGUGCCCAGGGCAGAUUUGCCAUGAAGCUGUUAAAUACCAAGUUCAGACCAUGCACUGCAUGGCCAUUCAGAGGCACGUGCAGAGGCCCAGCCUCGGGUUCAUAUGACCAUCUAUCAAUUCUUUAUUGGUGGGAUUGUUAAAAAACUAUGUGUUUGAAUGUUUUGCCUGAAUAGACAUCUGUGCACCAUGUACCUGGUACCCAUGAAGUCAAAAGAGGGCAUCAGCUCCCCUGGAAUUGGAAUUAUGGGUGGCUGUGAGCCACCAUGUGCAUGCUGGGAAUCAAACCGGAAUCUCCACAAGAAUAGCAAGUACUCUCUACACCACUGAGUCCUCUCUCUAGCCCCUGGAGCCUGUCCAAGAACUCACUCUGUAGACCAGGCUGGCCCCAAACUCACAGAGAUGCACCUGCCUCUGCCUCCCGGGUGCUAGGAUUAAAGGGGAGCAGCACCCCCACCCAGAGGGAUUCUUAAUAGCUUAAGAUGGAUGUCUCUUUUCUCCCGCUUCCUAGCUGUCCAUCUGUCGAGCAGUCCUCCUCGGCAAUGAUGCUCUAACCAAGCACCUGGGGCCGACAAACUGUGGACAGAACCCGCUGACAGUGAGGUGCUUUGUGCUCUUACUGUGGCCAUGGACAGGCAUCUGAUGCAGAGGCUGACCAAGCAGAAGACACUGAAGUCAUGUGCCAAACACGUGUGGACACAUGUCCACAGCCCUGGACCUGAGCACUCUCACAGCACACAGAUCCUUCUGUGAAGACAAUAACGAGAAAAGCAGCGGCUGUUCUUAUUGUGGAUAUUGUGGACUCAUCCGUGAGUCCAAGUCAGAAGCCAAAGGAAACAGCAGAUCGUUCUGGCCGUGACAAAGCUGGUUACGCACUGGGGGAUGGCCCUUUCUCUGCAUUUUAUCCACUCCCUCCAACCAAACUUUGCCAUUUUUCAUCCUGCCCAAAAUUGCCACUUCUAUACUGAAAACACCAAGGAACACUACCCAACCCAGAGAAGGAGAAAGAAACGUCUACAUCCAAAGGUUGAGCAAGAAAACCGCCUGGCAGGCAGCGUCUGGCCUUAUCAACCACAGGAUUUCGGUGUCAUGAAAACUCCACAAAUGCCCGCACAGGCUCACGUGCCUCCUCCCACCCUCUCGCUCCUCGGGAACUCCUGGCGCUAACUUCCCAAGGCACAGAACAUCUGGCAUUCCAUGAGUUUUAACCCAGAACUUCUCUGAGGUCCAUCGUCCCAGCGCUGGAACUGGUUUCUGGCUCCCAGGUGCAAACACGGCCCUGGCUACCCCGGGUCUGGAAAAGCAGGCUGUAAAGGCAAGUUUGCAAAUACUGGAAAAGAAAGCAAGUCAUGAGGGGGUGUGUGCGGGCUCUUCCAUCUCCUUUCAAAAACACUUAGCCAGAAUAAGUCACCCACCCACCCCGAAUACCUUCUAUUGCAAUCCUUCCUGCAGUCCCGGCCUCUUUAAAACCUGCAUUUUUCUCCCUGGGAGAAAGCAUUAGUUAAUGAUUGCCAGCCGACUUCUCUGGCUGGCAGGCCAUGUGACCUAGACACGUGACUCGGAGCUGGCUGGGAUGGUUUCUCCUGUUUGAAUAAGCUCCGGCUUAUUAUUGCAGUUACAAGUCUGUGGAAGCUGCGGAUGCAACGUGAUUCCCUGGCGGUUACACAACGCUGGAGAGCCGUGCUCGCCACUGCCAGCCGCUCCAGGGCUGACUUCUGAAGAAACAGAAAACAAACAGGUCUUGGUGUUUUCCAAAGUAAGAGUCUGUUUUCCCCUUUGGAAAAAUGCAUCUUGGCAAAAGGCAAGGCCCAGCCUGGCCAAAUUGUUCUAGUCCUUUUGGAGCAAGAAAGAUAAACUGUGCAACAGGCGAAGAAGAGAGCAGAUCGGGGUCGAUUUUACCACACUCUCCUCUCUCCCUGGAAACUCCUCAAAAUAUGGGCUUUUCACGUUUAUAAAAAGUCUCCACUGCCGGGCAGUGGUGGCGCACCCCUUUAAUUCCAGCACUCCUAGGAGCACAGGCAGACAGAGCUUUGUGAGAGUUUGAGGCCAGCCAAGGCUACAUAGCAAAUUCUCAGCCAACCAAUGCUACACUGUGAGAACCUGUCCUCUGACCCCCUUCCCAGCAAAGUACGGGAGGUUGAGGUUCUUCUGAUUUAGCAGUGAAGAGUGUUUGACUUCCGAAUGUGCGAGGUCCUGGGUUCAACCCCCAGAACCAAAAACAAAACAAACCCUACAAUUAUUUUUUAAAUUUAAACUGCAAAUAACAA